rnacentral:rRNA from 6 species
GACCCCAGGUCAGGCGGGGUUACCCGCUGAGUUUAA